rnacentral:rRNA from 1 species
GACGAACGCUGGCGGCGUGCUUAACACAUGCAAGUCGAACGCUGAAGCUCAGCUUUUGUUGGGUGGAUGAGUGGCGAACGGGUGAGUAACACGUGAGUAACCUGCCCCUUCUUUGGGAUAACGCCCGGAAACGGGUGCUAAUACUGGAUAUUCACUUGUCUUCGCAUUGGGGGUGGUGGAAAGGGGUUUUCUGGUGGGGGAUGGGCUCGCGGCCUAUCAGCUUGUUGGUGGGGUGAUGGCCUACCAAGGCUUUGACGGGUAGCCGGCCUGAGAGGGUGACCGGUCACAUUGGGACUGAGAUACGGCCCAGACUCCUACGGGAGGCAGCAGUGGGGAAUAUUGCACAAUGGGCGCAAGCCUGAUGCAGCGACGCCGCGUGAGGGAUGGAGGCCUUCGGGUUGUGAACCUCUUUCGCUCAUGGUCAAGCCGCAACAAUGGUUGUGGUGAGGGUAGUGGGUAAAGAAGCGCCGGCUAACUACGUG